rnacentral:rRNA from 1 species
UACAGAGGUCUCAAGCGUUGUUCGGAUUCAUUGGGCGUAAAGGGUGCGUAGGUGGCGUGGUAAGUCGGAUGUGAAAUCCCGGGGCUCAACCCCGGAACUGCAUUCGAUACUGCCAUGCUAGAGUACUGGAGAGGAGAUUGGAAUUUACGGUGUAGCAGUGAAAUGCGUAGAUAUCGUAAGGAAGACCAGUGGCGAAGGCGGAUCUCUGGACAGUUACUGACACUGAGGCACGAAAGCCAGGGGAGCAAACGGG